CUGUGAGCUCGAUGAGUAGGGCGGGACACGUGGUAUCCUGUCUGAAUAUGGGGGGACCAUCCUCCAAGGCUAAAUACUCCUGACUGACCGAUAGUGAACCAGUACCGUGAGGGAAAGGCGAAAAGAACCCCGGCGAGGGGAGUGAAAAAGAACCUGAAACCGUGUACGUACAAGCAGUGGGAGCACGCUUAGGCGUGUGACUGCGUACCUUUUGUAUAAUGGGUCAGCGACUUAUAUUCUGUAGCAAGGUUAACCGAAUAGGGGAGCCGAAGGGAAACCGAGUCUUAACUGGGCGUUAAGUUGCAGGGUAUAGACCCGAAACCCGGUGAUCUAGCCAUGGGCAGGUUGAAGGUUGGGUAACACUAACUGGAGGACCGAACCGACUAAUGUUGAAAAAUUAGCGGAUGACUUGUGGCUGGGGGUGAAAGGCCAAUCAAACCGGGAGAUAGCUGGUUCUCCCCGAAAGCUAUUUAGGUAGCGCCUCGUGAAUUCAUCUCCGGGGGUAGAGCACUGUUUCGGCAAGGGGGUCAUCCCGACUUACCAACCCGAUGCAAACUGCGAAUACCGGAGAAUGUUAUCACGGGAGACACACGGCGGGUGCUAACGUCCGUCGUGAAGAGGGAAACAACCCAGACCGCCAGCUAAGGUCCCAAAGUCAUGGUUAAGUGGGAAACGAUGUGGGAAGGCCCAGACAGCCAGGAUGUUGGCUUAGAAGCAGCCAUCAUUUAAAGAAAGCGUAAUAGCUCACUGGUCGAGUCGGCCUGCGCGGAAGAUGUAACGGGGCUAAACCAUGCACCGAAGCUGCGGCAGCGACGCUUAUGCGUUGUUGGGUAGGGGAGCGUUCUGUAAGCCUGCGAAGGUGUGCUGUGAGGCAUGCUGGAGGUAUCAGAAGUGCGAAUGCUGACAUAAGUAACGAUAAAGCGGGUGAAAAGCCCGCUCGCCGGAAGACCAAGGGUUCCUGUCCAACGUUAAUCGGGGCAGGGUGAGUCGACCCCUAAGGCGAGGCCGAAAGGCGUAGUCGAUGGGAAACAGGUUAAUAUUCCUGUACUUGGUGUUACUGCGAAGGGGGGACGGAGAAGGCUAUGUUGGCCGGGCGACGGUUGUCCCGGUUUAAGCGUGUAGGCUGGUUUUCCAGGCAAAUCCGGAAAAUCAAGGCUGAGGCGUGAUGACGAGGCACUACGGUGCUGAAGCAACAAAUGCCCUGCUUCCAGGAAAAGCCUCUAAGCAUCAGGUAACAUCAAAUCGUACCCCAAACCGACACAGGUGGUCAGGUAGAGAAUACCAAGGCGCUUGAGAGAACUCGGGUGAAGGAACUAGGCAAAAUGGUGCCGUAACUUCGGGAGAAGGCACGCUGAUAUGUAGGUGAAGUCCCUCGCGGAUGGAGCUGAAAUCAGUCGAAGAUACCAGCUGGCUGCAACUGUUUAUUAAAAACACAGCACUGUGCAAACACGAAAGUGGACGUAUACGGUGUGACGCCUGCCCGGUGCCGGAAGGUUAAUUGAUGGGGUUAGCGCAAGCGAAGCUCUUGAUCGAAGCCCCGGUAAACGGCGGCCGUAACUAUAACGGUCCUAAGGUAGCGAAAUUCCUUGUCGGGUAAGUUCCGACCUGCACGAAUGGCGUAAUGAUGGCCAGGCUGUCUCCACCCGAGACUCAGUGAAAUUGAACUCGCUGUGAAGAUGCAGUGUACCCGCGGCAAGACGGAAAGACCCCGUGAACCUUUACUAUAGCUUGACACUGAACAUUGAGCCUUGAUGUGUAGGAUAGGUGGGAGGCUUUGAAGUGUGGACGCCAGUCUGCAUGGAGCCGACCUUGAAAUACCACCCUUUAAUGUUUGAUGUUCUAACGUUGACCCGUAAUCCGGGUUGCGGACAGUGUCUGGUGGGUAGUUUGACUGGGGCGGUCUCCUCCUAAAGAGUAACGGAGGAGCACGAAGGUUGGCUAAUCCUGGUCGGACAUCAGGAGGUUAGUGCAAUGGCAUAAGCCAGCUUGACUGCGAGCGUGACGGCGCGAGCAGGUGCGAAAGCAGGUCAUAGUGAUCCGGUGGUUCUGAAUGGAAGGGCCAUCGCUCAACGGAUAAAAGGUACUCCGGGGAUAACAGGCUGAUACCGCCCAAGAGUUCAUAUCGACGGCGGUGUUUGGCACCUCGAUGUCGGCUCAUCACAUCCUGGGGCUGAAGUAGGUCCCAAGGGUAUGGCUGUUCGCCAUUUAAAGUGGUACGCGAGCUGGGUUUAGAACGUCGUGAGACAGUUCGGUCCCUAUCUGCCGUGGGCGCUGGAGAACUGAGGGGGGCUGCUCCUAGUACGAGAGGACCGGAGUGGACGCAUCACUGGUGUUCGGGUUGUCAUGCCAAUGGCACUGCCCGGUAGCUAAAUGCGGAAGAGAUAAGUGCUGAAAGCAUCUAAGCACGAAACUUGCCCCGAGAUGAGUUCUCCCUGACUCCUUGAGAGUCCUGAAGGAACGUUGAAGACGACGACGUUGAUAGGCCGGGUGUGUAAGCGCAGCGAUGCGUUGAGCUAACCGGUACUAAUGAACCGUGAGGCUUAACCUU
rnacentral:rRNA from 1 species